rnacentral:lncRNA from 1 species
CUGGGUGACAGCGGCGCGGGAAAAGUAUCUUUGGAGAGGCCCCCGCUGGAAAAACUCCCCGCUCCUGGGACUCUGGCCCCCGCCACACUGAAGCUGUCACUUCAGGCCUAGGCUUCGCCCAAGUCAUUCCCCUCCCCCUCCCGCUAUCCUAACCGGUGAUUGGGGAGACUACCGGAAGCUUCCGGCCGCCAUCUUGGACACCCAAGGGGAGGUAUCCAGCACAUAGUUGGAUAUAUGGGAUUUGAGCUGGAAGAGAGUCAAAUACCAGGGAAAGCACAAGUAUCUAGAUACAAUGAGAUGGUCUUGAGUAGUGGAAAAUACAGAGCAUUUAAGAAGAAUAAAGUCUAAAAAAAGGCCACUGGAUUUACCAAAUGGACCCAGGAAGGAGUAGUUUCAAUUGAGUAGUGGAACGGAAGCAAUUUUGAAAAGGACCAGCUCAAACAAAAGGGAAGAAUCUGGGAAGUAAUGCUGAGUUGAUUUGAAUUGGAACUGGAGAGAAGAGAAGAAACUCAAGAUUUAAUUUUUCUGCAAAUUCUGAGUUUUAAUGAGACAGUGUCUGAAAACACUCCUGAGACUUUUUGCUGGGAAAAGUGCUACAAAGAUGAAAGGUAUU